rnacentral:rRNA from 1 species
AUGAGUUGCCUCAGCUGGAACUGCCGGGGGCUUGGGAACCCCGGGGCAGUUGGUGAGCUUCACAGCAUUGUGAAGCAAGAAGGUCCCGGUCUUCUGUUUCUGAUGGAGACCAAAAUUUCGGCAGUAAGAGUGGAAAGACUACAGAGCCACCUUGGUUUUGCGGGUUGUUUCGCAGUAGAUAGCGUGGGUCUCAGUGGUGGGAUCGGCUUGUUUUGGUCUCAAGACUUUGACGUUGAGCUAAAGAAUUAUAGUUCCUGUCAUAUUGAUGUUAUGAUUAGGUGA